GAGGGAAUCUUCGGCAAUGGGGGGAACCCUGACCGAGCAACGCCGCGUGAGUGAAGAAGGUUUUCGGAUCGUAAAGCUCUGUUGUUAAGGAAGAACGAGUGUGAGAAUGGAAAGUUCAUGCUGUGACGGUACUUAACCAGAAAGGGACGGCUAACUACGUGCCAGCAGCCGCGGUAAUACGUAGGUCCCGAGCGUUGUCCGGAUUUAUUGGGCGUAAAGCGAGCGCAGGCGGUUAGAAAAGUCUGAAGUGAAAGGCAGUGGCUCAACCAUUGUAGGCUUUGGAAACUGUUUAACUUGGAUGCAGAGGGGGAGGGUGGAAUUCCAGGUGGUGGGGGUAAAUGCGUCGGUAUAUGGAGGAACACCGGGGGCGAAAGCGGCUCUCUGGGCUGUAACUGACGCUGGGGGUCGAAAAGGGGGGGAGCGAACAGG
rnacentral:rRNA from 1 species